GAUGAACGCUAGCGGCAGGCCUAACACAUGCAAGUCGAGGGGUAUACGGUGCUUGCACUGUAGAGACCGGCGCACGGGUGAGUAACGCGUAUGGAAUCUGCCUUGUACAGGGGAAUAGCC
rnacentral:rRNA from 1 species